GCUCGUGUUACCGUUUACUCAGGAGUUUACCUCUGCAGGCCAGUUACAGCAGAUUUUACAAUCCCUGGUCCACUUAUCAUCAUGAUCCAUAGGAUUGGUUCUGUUCUUGCAACUGUCUUGGCUUUGACCACAUGGACAUAUUAUUAUUCAAAAGAACAAGUGACAAACCAGACGAUGGUCAAUAUUAUGUCACUCAGAGAGAGACAGUCACAGAGGCAUGUAGAACAAAGGCUAAUGACAGAGGAACAGCAGAAGGUUACUGAAAAGAUGAAAAAAGAACCCAAACAAGAACCUGAAACAUAUAUUUUGUGCAAAAAUCAAACAGAUGAACUUGUGUUCACAUCUCAAGUUGCGUCCUUAAGUGGAUCCCUCCGUCUUCCGACAGUUUUCAUCCUUCUACUCAUUGACAUAUGUGGAGUGGCAGCCGUCUAUGAAGUGACUCUCCAGUUCCCCAUUUGGAGCAUCCUUGAGUUGAUGUUGGGAUUGAACACUGUCUACGCUAUGCAUAAACUGAAGAGUGAGAAAGAAAAAUUGGCGAGGGCAAUUUCUACACUGGUGGAGAUGAAGACUAAAAUGGACGCAUUGAUGGAUGAACUCAGACAGUCUCUGCAGAACGUGGAGGAUGACAAGGCAAAAAACAGACAGAAGCUUCAUUCGGUGGAGAUGGACAUAGCAAAGAAAGUGGACCCUAAGAAACUGUUAGGUGAAAAAGAAAAGCUCCUAAGAAAGCAGUGGAAACUGGAUCAGACUAAAAAAGUUACAGAAAAACAAAUAAUUAACAUUGAGAAACUGAUGGAGCCACUAGAACUUAGGUUUCCUAUUGAACACAAUGAAGCUAGAUGAAUUAAUUAGCACAGAGGAAAAUGUCCAAAAGUUAAAGUUUCACAUUGUUUUUAUACAGCAUAUCUUAUACCAAAUUGUUUAUCUUUUACAAUGAAACUCUUCUUUUAAAAAUUGUGUGUGGCUGUA